rnacentral:rRNA from 1 species
AGUGAACGCUGGCGGUAGGCCUAACACAUGCAAGUCGAACGGCAGCACAGUAAGAGCUUGCUCUUACGGGUGGCGAGUGGCGGACGGGUGAGGAGUACAUCGGAAUCUACUUUUUCGUGGGGGAUAACGUAGGGAAACUUACGCUAAUACCGCAUACGACCUACGGGUGAAAGCAGGGGAUCUUCGGCCCUUGCGCGAUUGAAUGAGCCGAUGUCGGAUUAGCUAGUUGGCGGGGUAAAGGCCCACCAAGGCGACGAUCCGUAGCUGGUCUGAGAGGAUGAUCAGCCGCACUGGAACUGAGACACGGUCCAGACUCCUACGGGAGGCAGCAGUGGGGAAUAUUGGACAAUGGGCGCAAGCCUGAUCCAGCCAUACCGCGUGGGUGAAGAAGGCCUUCGGGUUGUAAAGCCCUUUUGUUGGGAAAGAAAAGCAGCAGGUUAAUACCCCGCUGUUCUGACGGUACCCAAAGAAUAAGCACCGGCUAACUUCGUG